rnacentral:tRNA from 1 species
GGCUGUGGCUCAGCGGUAGAGCGCUCGCCUAGCAUGUGUGAGGCCCUGGGUUCGAUCCUCAGCACCA